CCCAUAUUCCUACGGGAAGCAGCAGUGAGGAAUUUUUCACAAUGGACGAAAGUCUGAUGGAGCAAUACCACGUGAACGAUGAAGGUCUUCUGAUUGUAAAGUUCUUUUAUUUAGGAAAAAAAGCGUGCUAGGAAAUGAGCGCGCCUUGAUGGUACUAAUUGAAUAAGUGACAGCUAACUAUGUGCCAGCAGCUGCGGUAAAACAUAGGUCACGAGCAUUAUCCGGAUUUAUUGGGCGUAAAGGAAGCGUAGGCGGGGAGGUUGAUCCAUUGUUAAAAGCAUUUGCUUAACAAAUGUGUGCAUUGGAGAUCGCCUCCCUAGAGUUAAUCAGGGGGUACUGGAAUUCAAUGUGUAGCGGUGGAAUGCGUAGAUAUAUUGAGGAACACCAGAGGCUAAGGCGAGUGCCUAGGAUAUAACUGACGCUGAGGCUUGAAAGCGUGGGGAGCAAAUGGGAUUAGAUACCCCAGUAGUCCACGCCGUAAACGAUGAGCAUUGGGCAUUUGACAUCUGGUCGAGUGCUGUAGCUAACGCGUUAAAUGCUCCGCCUGGGUAGUAUAUAUGCAAA
rnacentral:rRNA from 1 species